rnacentral:rRNA from 1 species
GACGAACGCUGGCGGCGUGCCUAAUACAUGCAAGUAGAACGCACAGUUUAUACCGUAGCUUGCUACACCAUAGACUGUGAGUUGCGAACGGGUGAGUAACGCGUAGGUAACCUGCCUGGUAGCGGGGGAUAACUAUUGGAAACGAUAGCUAAUACCGCAUAAUAUUGAUUAUUGCAUGAUAAUUGAUUGAAAGAUGCUAUUGCAUCACUACCAGAUGGACCUGCGUUGUAUUAGCUAGUAGGUGAGGUAACGGCUCACCUAGGCGACGAUACAUAGCCGACCUGAGAGGGUGAUCGGCCACACUGGGACUGAGACACGGCCCAGACUCCUACGGGAGGCAGCAGUAGGGAAUCUUCGGCAAUAGACGAAAGUCUGACCGAGCAACGCCGCGUGAGUGAAGAAGGGUUUCGGAUCGUAAAGCUCUGUUGUAAGAGAGGAACGGGUGUGAGAGUGGAAAGUUCACACUGUGACGGUACCUUACCAGAAAGGGACGGCUAACUACGUG